GACGAACGCUGGCGGCGUGCUUAACACAUGCAAGUCGAACGGCAAGGCCCUGCUUUUGUGGUGUUCUCGAGUGGCGAACGGGUGAGUAACACGUGAGUAACCUGCCCUUGACUUUGGGAUAACUUCAGGAAACUGGGGCUAAUACCGGAUAGGAGCUCCUGCUGCAUGGUGGGGGUUGGAAAGUUUCGGCGGUUGGGGAUGGACUCGCGGCUUAUCAGCUUGUUGGUGGGGUAGUGGCUUACCAAGGCUUUGACGGGUAGCCGGCAUGAGAGGGUGAACGGGCACAUGGGGACUGAGAGAGGGAGCAGACGCCUACGGGAGGCAGCAGGGGGGAAUAUUGCACAAUGGGAGGAAGCCUGAUGAAGAAACGCCGCGGGCGGGAUGACGGCCUUCGGGUUGUAAACCGCUUUAGCCUGUGACGAAGCGUGAGUGACGGUAAUGGGUAAAGAAGCACCGGCUAACUACGUG
rnacentral:rRNA from 1 species